rnacentral:misc_RNA from 1 species
AGAGAGAGGUUCUCCCCUCCCCACUCUCCUUAAUUCGUGUGACUCGUAAUGAAGCGCAGCAGCAACGGUGACGCGGCAGAGGCUCACCACCCCGCCCUGGCGUUUCACCGCGAAGUGCUGAUCAUCCAGCAGUGGACCAAGAUACGCCGCGAUUUUCUGCAAGCACUGGAGGCUGUGGCCGCAAGCAGAGUUGUGCAGUGGCGAGAGCCCCGCAAGCUGUGGCGACACGCCCAGGAGGCGCUUGGCAAGUGGAUCCUCUCCCAGGUAGCGCGCGUGCACCUACCGGCGCGGGAUGAACCGCAUAAAGACCCAAGCCGGGGCACACCCUCUGCGGCGCGCCUCCGCGAGGCCGAGAUCCGCUUCUUCCCUUCCGCAGAUCAGCUUCGGCAUGCCAUGACCAACGCGAGAGGUGCGCACGCGUCGUCCGCCGCGGCGACCGGUAGCAGCGUCAUCAAAGGCAAGCAAGAUCUGCGCACCUACGAUGAGCAGUUGGUGCGGGACCUGUCCAUCAAGUCCAACGGCACAUACAACUCGGCUGCCGUAGCCGCGCUGGUGCAGCUGGUGAAGAAUUUCUCCCUCGCCAAGCGCUGCGUCGCCGCUGCCGAAGCCAUCGAGGCCGGCAUGCAAGGCGUCACCCCGACCCAGGCACUGAAGCCCCGUAUCCGCCGCCUCGAAGCCGAUGACCCGCAGCGAACCCCUCAGCAGCAGCGCAUCGCCGGCCCCAUCGCGGAGGUGUCGGUCCAGUGGCCGCGUCACUGGCGUCGAGAGCAGUGCCGCGACUGUCCGCCGGUGUCGCUGCCGUGGGCGGCGAUGGAGAAACUGCGAAUGUGCUACGACUUCUUCUCCGAGGCAUCCGAGCAGGCGCGCUACGACAAGGGUGUAUUCUCUGCAGACGCGCGUCAGCUCCGCUUCCAGCUGCGCGCCGCCACCGUCAUCCUCCGCUACGAAGGUGGUCUCGCGACGGGAAGCCUGCAGCUCUGCGCCGACACGCGACUGAAGCAGCAUCUGCACGCGGCAGGCUACCAUGUCAUGGACCUCUGCGCAUCGCCCAUCAACGCAUACAUGAAAACGCCGCAGCCCGGCACGUUCAAAGGCGCCGCAUCCGACAGCGAUGGCGCCGUGGCCGAGGAGGUGCCAAAUCACUUCUGCUCUGCCUUCUACGACACGGAUCAGUACUUUGGCAGCAUAGGCAGCGCCGUCGCUGUCGACCCGCAGCGCAUUUACAGUGACGCGGUGAUCAACCCUGAUGGCAAACCGCUGCUUCUCACGCUGGACGUGCCGUACGACGAAGAUCUAUGCGAGCUGCUCUUUCAGAAGCUCGUGCGCGACAUGCGCAGCGCAAUGGCGAGCACCGGUGCGGCAGCAGCGGUGGUGGACUACGUUUUGGUGCUCCCGCUGUGGUGGGAUAUUCGCUUGAAGAUCGAGAAGCGCUUUUUUGGCGGCACCGGUGGGGUGGCAAAGUCGUCGUCCUCCUCCCCUUCUGCCGGCCCCCUCGAUGUCGCGCAGGUUGUGCAGAGACGGGCGGCGAUGCUUCAAGAGGGGUACCGCGUGCCAUAUAGUUGGCCAGAGGCGCUCGCCGCGGCCGCAGGUGAUGCGCGCACUGCCACGGCGGCGGCGGCGUCGGACGCGUGGGUGUGCUUUGACGGCGUCUUCAUCGACAACGGCUACGGCUACUUCUGCACCACGACGAACAAGUGGCUCCACGGUGUGACAGCGACGGAGGUGAUCGGGCUGGCGCAGCCUCGCGCGUCACCGCAGCUGAAGCGGGCGUUGGAUUCGUUCUAUGUUGUGCCCGCCUCCUCUCCGCCUUCCACUUGAGCGUGCAGCAUCGCCAAAGAGCGGCACACACACACACACACACACACAUACAUAUAUAUAUGUAUAUAUUGCAAGG